ACAAGUAUAUAUACAUGUAUGUAUACAUAUAUGUAUUUAUACGAGCCUUAAAAGAAGAAAACAAAUUUUAUUGUCUUCCUUCUAAUAUUACUGAUGAGUAACUGCCAAUAUCAUAUGUAACAAAAACUGGGCACAGCUAUCAUCUAGUAACAAAGCCUUGAAAUAUAUAAAACAAUAUUUUCAGAACUAAAAUGAGAAAUAGACAAAUCCAUAAUCAUAAGGGGAGAUUUUGGCACUCCUCUUUUAGUAAAGAAUAUAAAUAGAAUGAAUAGACCAAAAAAUAGUAAAAACAUAAGGGUUUGAAGAACAUGAUUAACAAACUUGAUCUAAUUGAUACACGCAUGUUGAAAACUGAUACCCAAC
rnacentral:lncRNA from 1 species